rnacentral:sRNA from 14 species
GUGAUCUGGCUAUGAAAUCUGUCAUGCCAUCAAUCACCAAGGUCAACACAGCUGAUAUGACUGGCUAAGCAGGUAUCCUGUCUAC